CGCCGGAGGGCGCGAGAGUCCGCGGCAGAAAGGCAGCGCGCCAGGCCUGCUCGCAGAGGUUGGCCUCCUGUGGACCAAUAGAAGGACCGACGCUCCCGUUUCGAUGGCAACCCUGGGAUCUCGGGCGUCUCGUGGUCCUCCUAAGGAUCUUUCAUUGGCUCACAAAAGGAAGAUUAGAAGACUUGCUUUCCUAACCCUCUCGUAUCUAAAGAUGCUGAAAAAGAUGUUGAGGUCAAUAUCAGAGGCUUCUCUGACUCAGAGAGAAGAGAGAAAAUUCCUGAAAGAGAAUGACAUCUGAAAGACGAUAGACACCUCAUCAAAACAGUAGAUUUCAGAAGACAAUGGAUUAAUAUCCUCAAAGUGCUGAGGAAAAAUAAUAGUAUAGUUAUAAAAUCUAUAUGUACCCUUAAUUAAUAAGGAAGUCAAAAUAAAGAUUUCUUCAGACA